GACGAACGCUGGCGGCGUGCUUAACACAUGCAAGUCGAACGGAAAGGCCCUGCUUUUGUGGGGUGCUCGAGUGGCGAACGGGUGAGUAACACGUGAGUAACCUGCCCUUGACUUUGGGAUAACUUCAGGAAACUGGGGCUAAUACCGGAUAGGAGCUCCUGCUGCAUGGUGGGGGUUGGAAAGUUUCGGCGGUUGGGGAUGGACUCGCGGCUUAUCAGCUUGUUGGUGGGGUAGCGGCUUACCAAGGCUUUGACGGGUAGCCGGCCUGAGAGGGUGACCGGCCACAUUGGGACUGAGAUACGGCCCAGACUCCUACGGGAGGCAGCAGUGGGGAAUAUUGCACAAUGGGCGGAAGCCUGAUGCAGCAACGCCGCGUGCGGGAUGACGGCCUUCGGGCUGUAAACCGCUUUCGCCUGUGACGAAGCGUGAGUGACGGUAAUGGGUAAAGAAGCACCGGCUAACUACGUG
rnacentral:rRNA from 1 species